AGUGAACGCUGGCGGUAGGCCUAACACAUGCAAGUCGAACGGCAGCACAGUAAGAGCUUGCUCUUACGGGUGGCGAGUGGCGGACGGGUGAGGAAUACAUCGGAAUCUACUUUUUCGUGGGGGAUAACGUAGGGAAACUUACGCUAAUACCGCAUACGACCUACGGGUGAAAGCAGGGGAUCUUCGGACCUUGCGCGAUUGAAUGAGCCGAUGUCGGAUUAGCUAGUUGGCGGGGUAAAGGCCCACCAAGGCGACGAUCCGUAGCUGGUCUGAGAGGAUGUUCGCCAACACUGAAACUGGACAACGUCCCGGAUUCCUACGGAAGGCGGAGGUGGGAAUAUUUGGCAAUGGGGGGAAACCUGGUCCAACCCUUCCGGGGUGGGUGAAGAGGCCUUCCGGUUGUAAAACCCUUUUUGUGGGAAAGAAAAACCGGAAGUUAAUACCCCGCUGUUCUGACGGUACCCAAAGAAUAAGCACCGGCUAACUUCGUG
rnacentral:rRNA from 1 species